CAGCUACAGUAUACUGCCAAAAGCCAAUACACAGACCCUGAAAAGACAAGGAGAAGGAGUUAGCUGACAACGGCACGAAAACGAUGUGUGCUCUUCCAUGGGGCAGAAGUCAGCGUGUUGUUGUGAUUCUGGAUGGCCAGAUAGCCAGCACCAAUGACAAGAAGCUGCCAUGUGGGGAAUCGUCAGCUUUGGCAUCUCAACACAGCUGCUUUCCUGCCGAUAGGGGCAAGUCUUCAAAAUGUUCCACUAGUGCUCUCUGGUGGCUGAGGUAAUUAAUUGUACUGUAAGAGUGGACGUAAAUCAGGUGGAAGCCACAGAUGAACCCACUCUGUCACUCAGGCCAGCUACAGCUACAUCUACAGGCAUGGUGAGCAGUGGGAGAAGAGAAGGCCAAGCUACAGGCAUGGUGAGCAGUGAGAGAAGAGAAGGCCAAGCUACAGGCAUGGUGAGUAGUGGGAGAAGAGAAGGCCAAGCUACAGGCAUGGUGAGCAGUGGGAGAAGUGAAGGCCAAGCUACAGGCAUGGUGAGUAGUGGGAGAAGAGAAGGCCAAGCUACAGGCAUGGUGAGCAGGGGGAGAGGUGAAGGCCAAGCUACAGGCAUGGUGAGCAGUGGGAGAAGAGAAGGCCAAGCUACAGGCAUGGUGAGCAGUGGGAGAAGAGAAGGCCAAGCUACAGGCAUGGUGAGCAGUGG
ensembl:lncRNA